CUGAAACGUCAAUUUUCAACCAAAUGCUCUAUUAAGUGUGAACAACUGAACACUACUCUUGACAAAAUCAAAGUGAUAAGAUAUGGCGCAUGUUUAAGAAAAAAUUAAUUAAUUGUACAACUCGAAAAUACUAUUAAAGUUGCCUUUAUAAAUAUAUUACACACGAAUAUACACGUGACAAUUACUUGCGUGGAAAUAAAGCAGACGUAAAGGCCACCGAGUCCAAGUCGAUACUCGGUUUUCUUCCCUCUACUGGCCGAGUCAAAAUUUUCCGAUUUCCAGUGGCCAGAUUCACAAGUAAUAUGAUUUAUGCAGUAACUUUUUGCCUUUUUCUAUCACGCCUCCAUGAAUUCGAUCCCUUCUUCCGAACCAACAGCAGAGAGUACACAAUUUGCACUAGUAGUACACAACUCCACAUACCGGUUCUAGAUUUAUUGCACACAAAAUACAUGCCGAUAACAGUUUAAACCGUAAUCCAGAACUACAUACAUACAAACAGAAUAUUUAUGCGGUUAAUUGGGGAAGUGAUGGCGGCGGCAGAUUCAUCACUGGCGGCGGCGGCGGCGGCGGUUCACUGAUCCCACAGAGCAAUCGAGCUGCUUCCGGACUCAAAGAAGCUAGUGCCUCUCCCCAGUCCUUUAGAAUCUGAAUUUUGAUCCGAUUCUCUCCUCUUUUCGGAAUACGGUAAGCCAUUGCACUCAAAUCAAAUCGAUCUCAGUUUCCUGCAAAAUUAACAGUGAAUCUAAUUGAAUCUAGUAGGAAAAAGCCUCAAUGGUAAGGAUAUGGAUGAAAAGAAGGCAAUGAUUCCUAUACAUACAAAAUGGGAGCACCCAAUAACAAUUACCGUGUUGAUGUCACAAAAGGGUCCCACUAAAUUUUUGUACCGCCUUACAUUAAGAUUUUGUUUGGCCCUCAUUACAUAGCAAUUAUAACUUUUGGAAUAAUAUUUUUUUAGAUAACUUUUGGAAUAAUAUUUUUUUUGGAGAACUUAUAAUUAAAAAAGAUAUAAAAUUUUGGAUAAUGCUGGUUGUACAUUACCUUGUACAUCAGCUUGUCCAUAAUGCUGAGUUGGCAUUGUUUGAAUUUCAAUUUCUCGUGGCCAUUAAAGAAUGGGUUGAAAUUUUUGAUAGAAUUCCCAAAAGGCCCCUACCUCAUCCGAUUCCUCAAAACCUUCUCUUUGCACAAAAAAUCGUCACACAAUACUCUGUCCAAUUGAAAUCCUCUGACGAUCGACGACGAGUCAGCGACAAUGAGCAAAUCGACUGAGACAAAUGUACGACGGCAUCUUUAACUUGACUAUGCAUUGUUUUAAAAUGGUUUUCAUUUCUGUUUUGGUGGAUUUCAUCAUUUUUUUUGUUUUGGUCGGAAUUUUCGAAAUUCUAUACUUUGCUUUUCGCUGGACAUGAAAUGGAUAGAUUUCACUCCCUAUUUGCGUUUGUGUGGGCUGAAUCCUUUGCGUAUAUCUCAUCGAUGAUUCAAUUAUCGGAUAAUGUGAAAUGGUUUAGUGUUUGAGUAUUUGGAAUUGGAUUUUUUCUUCUUCUUCUUCUUCUUCUUCAUUAUUAUUAUUAUUAUUAUUAUUAUUAUUAUUAUUUUGUGAUAGCGUAUUGAUUUUGCCUUGGGUUGUUGUAAAUUUUGUAAUUUUCUGAGCUCUUUACUGUCCUUUUUCAAAAAAUAAUUGAGGGUUUCUUGUGGAUAAACAAUGGCGUUAAACGAAGAAGAAAAAGAGAUUAGAUUAGACUAACUGCUCUUAAUUUUCUCUUUAUGUUUUUGUGGAAUGCAUUUGCUUUUAUAUUUUUGUAUAGAUCCCCUGACGAGUUUCUUAUAUGUAGUUUGGUCUAUCAUCUAGAAUUAUGUCAAAAUAUAUGGUUGCCUUACAUAAACUGUCGUAUAUAAUCUAAAUCCUAUUCUUCUUAACUCAGGCCUAGUGAGAUGGUACAGUCUAACAAAGAAUACACCAAGGAGGAUGUAAGAGACCAAGUGGUUAAACGGAUCACAUUCGAGUCAUUAGAGCAUGGACCCUUUCACUUUCCUAGUUACAUGGUGAUAUUGAAGACAUUGAACGUAGUUUCUUCUAGCGGUAUCAACCAUUUCAUUGAAACAGUCGAAGAGAUGAAGAAUGAUUUCUUUAGUGCAAUAGCGGUACCUUUAGAAUUUCAGCAAUCAAAUGACAUUAUAUAGCUAGACAUUUUCAGUUUUCAAAUCUGUGGAAGUGAAUGUAACUCUUCAACCAUUAUGACACAACUAAAUUCUUUUUACGUUGCCUGCUUCUCAAGGUGAAAAUCAAUUGCCG
rnacentral:lncRNA from 1 species